rnacentral:rRNA from 1 species
AGAGUUUGAUCCUGGCUCAGAACGAACGCUGGCGGCGUGCUUAACACAUGCAAGUCGAACGGGCUCUUCGGAGCUAGUGGCGGACGGGUGAGUAAUACAUAGGAAAUCUGCCUUUAAGUGGGGGACAACCAGCCGAAAGGUUGGCUAAUACCGCGUAAUGUUGUAGCUUGAGAUAGUUAUAAAGAAAGAUUUAUCGCUUUUAGAGGAGCCUAUGGUUGAUUAGCUAGUUGGUGGGGUAAAAGCCUACCAAGGCGACGAUCAAUAGCUGGUCUGAGAGGACGAUCAGCCACACUGGGACUGAGACACGGCCCGGACUUCUACGGAAGGCAGCAGUGGGGAAUUUUCCGCAAUGGGCGCAAGCCUGACGGAGCGACGCCGCGUAUGGGAUGAAGUAUUUCGGUAUGUAAA